rnacentral:rRNA from 1 species
UACGAGGGGGGCGAGCGUUGUUCGGAAUUAUUGGGCGUAAAGGGUGCGUAGGCGGUUUUGUAAGUCUUAUGUGAAAUCUAUGGGCUCAACUCAUAGACUGCAUGAGAAACUGCAGGGCUUGAGUGUGGGAGAGGUGAGUGGAAUUUCCGGUGUAGCGGUGAAAUGCGUAGAUAUCGGGAGGAACACCCGUGGCGAAGGCGGCUACCUGGACCAGCACUGACACUGAGGCACGAAAGCGUGGGGAGCGAACAGG